UACGAGGGGGGCAAGCGUUGUUCGGAAUUAUUGGGCGUAAAGAGCUCGUAGGUGGUUCGAUAAGUCGGGUGUGAAAACUCUGGGCUUAACUCAGAGACGCCACCCGAUACUGUCGUGACUUGAGUCUGGUAGGGGAGUGUGGAAUUCCCAGUGUAGCGGUGAAAUGCGCAGAUAUUGGGAGGAACACCAGUGGCGAAGGCGGCACUCUGGGCCAGUACUGACACUGAGGAGCGAAAGCGUGGGUAGCGAACAGG
rnacentral:rRNA from 1 species